rnacentral:rRNA from 1 species
UACGUAGGGUGCAAGCGUUAAUCGGAAUUACUGGGCGUAAAGCGUGCGCAGGCGGUUUUGUAAGUCUGUCGUGAAAUCCCCGGGCUUAACCUGGGAAUUGCGAUGGAGACUGCAAGGCUAGAAUCUGGCAGAGGGGGGUAGAAUUCCACGUGUAGCAGUGAAAUGCGUAGAGAUGUGGAGGAACACCAGUGGCGAAGGCGACUUACUGGACACAUAUUGACGCUGAGGUG